GAUGAACGCUAGCUACAGGCUUAACACAUGCAAGUCGAGGGACCGGCGCACGGGUGAGUAACACGUAUCCAACCUGCCCUUUACUCGGUGAUAACCUUUCGCAAGAAAUAUUAAUACCCGAUAUAAAGGAUGGGGAUGCGUUCGAUUAGGUUGUUGGUGAGGUAACGGCCCACCAAGCCUUCGAUGGAUAGGGGUUCGGAGAGGAAGGUCCCCCACAUUGGAACUGAGCCACGGUCCAAAAUCGUAGGGGAGGCAGGAGUGAGGAAUAGUGGGCAAUGGGCGCUAGCUGGAACCAGCCAAGUAGCGUGAAGGAUGAAGGCUCAUGGAUCGUAAACUUCUUUUAUAUAAGAAUAUGUAUUAGAUGAAUAAGGAGCGGCUAACUCCGUGCCAGCAGCCGCGGUAAUAC
rnacentral:rRNA from 1 species